rnacentral:rRNA from 1 species
UACGUAGGGUGCGAGCGUUGUCCGGAAUUACUGGACGUAAAGAGCUCGUAGGUGGUUUGUCGCGUUGUCCGUGAAAACUCACAACUCAAUUGUGGGCGUGCGGGCGAUACGGGCAGACUGGAGUACUGCAGGGGAGACUGGAAUUCCUGGUGUAGCGGUGGAAUGCGCAGAUAUCAGGAGGAACAUCGGCGGCGAAGGCGGGUCUCUGGGCAGUAACUGACGCUGAGGAGCGAAAGCGUGGGGAGCGAACAGG